UCUAUUCAGGGUACUGAAUACGAUUAAAAAUGUACUAAUAUUGUUACAACGAUUAAAAAUGUUAAUAAUCCAGUGUUUGUAAUUUCAUGAAUGUUCAAAAUUUUAUCUUGUAUUUGACAAAGUUUGUAUUUUAUGAUAUAUAUUAGUGAGUAUAAUUAUAUAUAUUUUUGAUUCAAAACAUAUUUCUAUUCAGGGUACUGAAUACGAUUAAAAAUGUACUAAUAUUGUUACAACGAUUAAAAAUGUUAAUAAUCCAGUGUUUGUAAUUUCAUGAAUGUUCCAAAUUUUAUCUUGUAUUUGACAAAGUUUGUAUUUUAUGAUCAAAAGACAAAGAAAUGAGAAUACUAAUCAUGUAUAGAUUGAGAGACACUAUAUCUUCCCAACAGUAGAAUAUAAUAGGAAAAUUGAUGUAUUUUCUAAUAAACUUGUUCAUAUAACUCUGUUUAUUUCAUGUAUAGAUUGAGAGACACUACCUAUAUCUUCCCAACUGUAGAAUAUAAUAGGAAAAUUUAUGUAUUUUCUAAUAAACUUGUUCAUAUAACUCUGUUUAUUUUGAUAGCAAUAUAAUAAAUUUAUGUAUUUUCUAAUAAACUUGUUCAUAUAACUCUGUUUAUUUUGAUAGCAGAUAGUUGGUUAUAUGAAUUGAAAUUGACACAAUUUUGUAUUUUAUAUGUUAUGGUUAUAUGUUAUUUUGUAUUUUGGUUAUAUGAAUUGAAAUUGACACAAUUUUGUAUUUUAUGAUCGAAAGACAAAGAAAUGAGAACAUUAUUUAUAAAAAUGAGAAAAUUGUAUAAAAUUGAGAGACACUAUCUUCCCAACAGUAGAAUAUAAUAGGAAAAUGGAUGUAAUUUUUCAAUAAUUUGUUCAUAUAAUUCCUCUGUUUAUUUUUAUAGCAAAGAGUUGGUUUGGUUAUAUGGAUGAAAUAACUUGAAAACACGGAAUUAGCUUAGAAACUGUAGAAAACUAUAAUCAAGUUUUUGUAAUAAACAGAGCUUUAGCAUUGAUAUUUGUAAUACAAUUUGAAAAAGAUGUCGACAAUUAAGAUCUUUUUGACGAUUAACAAGUUGAAAUGUAUUUAAAAUUUGAAUAAGAGUAAUAAAUAUAUUGUAUUAUCAAUCAUUAAAUUUUGGGUUCUGGAGACGUAAACUCCUGUAUACCUGAUAGUAUAUUUUGUAAUAAAAUAAAUUCUGAAGUUGUUUUGAACUGUUAAAUCCUUUACUUCAUUCAACUAAUUAUUGAUUUUACAUUUUCCAUGCAUUAAAUUUGUUUUUAAAUUCGAAAUCAAUCGCCUUUUAAGUGAGAUUUACUUUAUACCGCUAGCUUUAUUCCUUUUAAAUAACACCAAUUAUCUCAUUCAAAUAAUGUUGACAAUUUGAGAGAAUUUCGCAAGCAAUUUAUUCAAAUCAUUGAUGAAACAUUUUUUCAUAAAAUUAUUUUAUUUUCAAUUCGUAUUCUUCAUUAUUGCUCUCAUUUUUGUCAAGGAUGAUUUCCGUAAGAACUUUCGACUUGUGCUUGAGUAAUGCAAAAUAAUAUAUUUGAUGGAACUACAUUUAUAGUGGGUUCCGAACCAUUUAGUUGUAUAUCACUUUGUACUGAUUAUGCUUCUUAGGAUUACCUCUCACUUUAAUUUGUAAUGCUAUUUCCAAUUAUUGUAAACUAAACGUAUAAAAUUAGGUAGUAUGCCUUGUAUGUAGUAUAGUAAUUAAUAUUAUUGGUUCUGAAUAUGUUUAACCAAACUAUUAAAAUAUAAUUAUUUUUAUAGGAUGAUUACUAUAAUAAAUUCAUUUAUAGAGAAUUUAAAAA